UACACUCCUGCGGGAGGCAGCAGUGGGGAAUAUUGGACAAUGGGCGCAAGCCUGAUCCAGCCAUGCCGCGUGAGUGAUGAAGGCCCUAGGGUUGUAAAGCUCUUUCACCGGUGAAGAUAAUGACGGUAACCGGAGAAGAAGCCCCGGCUAACUUCGUGCCAGCAGCCGCGGUAAUACGAAGGGGGCUAGCGUUGUUCGGAUUUACUGGGCGUAAAGCGCACGUAGGCGGACUAUUAAGUCAGGGGUGAAAUCCCGGGGCUCAACCCCGGAACUGCCUUUGAUACUGGUAGUCUUGAGUUCGAGAGAGGUGAGUGGAAUUCCGAGUGUAGAGGUGAAAUUCGUAGAUAUUCGGAGGAACACCAGUGGCGAAGGCGGCUCACUGGCUCGAUACUGACGCUGAGGUGCGAAAGCGUGGGGGGCAAACAGGAUUAGAAACCCGUGUAGUCCCAUG
rnacentral:rRNA from 1 species